CACGUAGGGUGCGAGCGUUGUCCGGAAUUAUUGGGCGUAAAGAGCUCGUAGGCGGUGUGUCGCGUCGGCCGUGAAAACCUGCAGCUUAACUGUGGGCUUGCGGUCGAUACGGGCAUCACUGGAGUUCGGCAGGGGAGACUGGAAUUCCUGGUGUAGCGGUGAAAUGCGCAGAUAUCAGGAGGAACACCGGUGGCGAAGGCGGCAUCCUGGACCGA
rnacentral:rRNA from 1 species